UUUAUUCAUUGUCGAUCCUACAAUGGAUUAUAGUUUCUGUAAAUUGAUGUUAAGUUUUAUUAUUUUAGAGUUUGAUUUAAUUUCAUGUGUUUACGGAGAAGCAGGUGUUUGCCGUAAGAAAGUAUGGCGUGGGAACGAAUAUGUGGACGAACAAUACUGCUGUGCAAACUACGAAAUAAAAAAUGGGACUUGUACAGUAUGUGAAAAAGGUUUCAUGUCUAAAGAUGGAGGUAGUUGUCAGCAAUGUAGAAGGGAAAACUAUGGUGCAAAAUGCCUCCAUUCAUGCAGCUGCACGGAACA